AAAGGAACCAUGAAUUUAAGAUCUACAAGUUGCUAUAAAUCUAUCCAAGAUAAAUUAGCAACUUUAAUUUAUUUAGAUAUGGCAAUGAACAAGUGUUCCUUCUCUUGGUUUUUGGUUUGUUUAAUUCUCAUUACCAUUGGUAUGUCUCUCUCGUGCCGCUCUAGCGAGAAUUGGUUUUUAAGGUCACUUAUAAUUUUUAUUUUUUAGUUUUAUGCCUUUUUCAUAUGAAAUCUUCAUUUUUACACAUAUCAGAUCUGAAAAGAUCAUUUUUUGCAAUUCAUUUUGUAAGUGGACAGGAGAUCUUAGUUCGCCAGCCCUCUUUCAUUGAAAUAGAAUCCUUAUAGUCUCGUUUUAAAUCUUAAUCGUGGCGUUCGGAUCUGUUCUAGCAUACCUAGACUAAUUCCACGUGACAUCUGUCACCUGCCACCAAUAUUAGAUACUAGGUAACUUGUAUACAAGUACAUGAUAAAUGAAAAGAAAUCACCUAGCAUUUUUGUCUCUGUUGGAAUUUGAACCUAACACCUUAUGAUUCUCGACCUGCUUCAUUGACCCCUGGAUGACACCGGUUUGGUUGAAAUGCUACCAUUUGAUGAGUACCAAAUUGUUAGAACUAUUGUUCCAAACGCUUAUUUUUUAAAACUUUGGUAUAUACAUAUACUUUUUUUGAUAAUUAAAAUAAAGUUUGAUUUCAUUUUGUAUUUUGUUAGGUAUGAAGAGCGAGGCCAUGGAUGCUACCAUGAAUCACCCACACCCACCAUGCAAGACAUACAAUGAUUGCUGGCAUUUUUGUGGCCUAAUGAUCCCAUUUUGUGUGGAGGGCAUUUGUCAAUGUGGUAUUGCCCCAAAGCAAAAGAACAAGUCUUAGAUAUUCUCCAAAUGAGUAAUUAGAAAACUUUAAUUAAUUGUUCUCCUACUCCACAUUUCCUUUGAUUUAAUUUCUUGCAAUGAAAUAAAGAUUGUUGGAGUAUUUGAU
rnacentral:lncRNA from 1 species